AAACGUAUGAUCUUCACGCCUGGGACAUUAACGGUCAGUACAGCAGCUCGCCUAACCUGGGACAUUAACGGUCAGUACAGCAGCUCGCCUAACCUGGGACAUUAACGGUCAAUACAGCAGCUCGCCUAACCUGGGACAUUAACGGUCAGUACAGCAGCUCGCCUAACCUGGGACAUUAACGGUCAAUACAGCAGCUCGCCUAACCAAAAAGCUUGAAUAGCAGCAGGAAACACAGUGAAAAGGGCGUGAAUUCUAGAAACAGAAAUAUCUAAAAGCAGCAGAAGUCAGAGAAGACUGGUCCUAUGUAACGGAAGCUGGAGAAUCACUUUAUUCCGGCUCCGAAAUUUAAGACGCUCAGAAAGUUGUUUUGAUAUUGGAACUACUGACUUCGAUAAUGACGAAAGCAGAUAUUUUAAAGACAGCCAGAUUACUACGCUCACUUCCUGUGAUAAGGCGCAUUGGACAAUAUACAGAGUAUGGUGCUGUCGUACUACUUUUGUUUAUGGUAUUAAUCCCACAAGUAGGACACUGGUUAGCUUACAAGUGUGUUUUAUGUCAUUGCAUACUGGGAGCAACUGCACUUGGAAAAAAAGCCGUAGGAUGGUUACAUAGUGUAGCCAGAAGUAUCAGUGAAGCUAACAUUGCCAACGUUACAGAUAGUUGACCCAGCAUAAAGGCGUAUUACAUCACAGCUUUUACGUUUACGUCACUGACGUCAAUAGGAUUCGGAAACGUGUCACCAAAUAACAACGGCGAAAACAUAUUCUCAAUAUUUGCUGUUCUGCUUGGAUCACUGCUGAGUGUCAACGGUGAGAGUGUAUCAUGAGACAGAUGAGUACCACGAGAAAAUGAAGAGUAUUAAAGAAACCAAAACAUUCAUCAUCAUCCGAAGAAUCUUGCAAACUGAUUGCACGAGUCCUUCUUACACACCUGGGCGUACACUAAUGGAAUUGACAUGAACAUGGUACAGUAUAUACAGAGUUUCUAUGAAUCAAGAGCGUUCAGUCUCAGUUUUAACUGAAGGUAGUUGCCCGUACUGACAAUCGGAAAUUUCCGUGUAUUUCCGUAAUACUCCGUGUGUGAUUUCGGAAUGCUUCUGUCGUGAUAGGAAAUUCCUUUUCAUAAGUACUGGAGAACACUGAAAUCGCAUACUGAUAAAACAUCAGUGAACGGAAAAUAUCGAAUGUCAUUUUUUAUAUUUCACCAAAGUUCGGAAAUAUUUUAUGUGUAAAGCCUAAAUUUUUCACUUCAUAAAGAGUCGAGUUUUGUUUUCUUUGGUUAUUGAUCGGACUAUAUAAAGAAUUAUUAUACCUCACAUAAAUAUCCAAUGCAAAUUUCCCAUUAGUUUAACUUGAAUAAUAUAUCAUAUUCCCCAGCAAUUUUAUAUCUCAUGCGCAAAAUCGUUAUUUUCAGUUUCUGCGCAUGUGAUAUGCUACAUAAUGAUAAUUUCAUAUCACCCGCGCAAAAGCGCUAUUUUGUUUUUCUGAGCAAGUGAUAUUAACUUUUCAGAUCUCCCGUUGAGUGAUUGAUACUUUUGCACUGAGUAAAAGACUGAGACGUUAACUUUUCAGAAGAUGUGCUUUUAUAAUUUAGGAUUAAAUUUCUUUCAUUUGUGAACUCGGCCGAUUUUUCUUUUAUUAAUGAUUUGUUCUACGUGCAAAAAAAUUCGAAAACAACUUUUUUAUCAAAUAUUGAAUCGAAACUAUUUCCAUGAGAUUGGAAAUGAUCUAACUAAGAAAAUAAGUGCUCACACAUAUAUGUUUCGUUUAGAAAUAAUAUAGUUAUCGCCGUUUUUCGAAUGUUACUGCUAGCGAUGUUGAAAUGAUUAUGCGCAUCAUGAAACAUAGGAUUCAGCGAUAUGCAAACGUCUCGACUAAAUCUAUCAAAAAUGUCUUAUUACACAGAAGAGUUGCCACCGGAGUGCUAACAGGUAAGCACUCCUUAAUUCAGUCUCCAUUAUUUGGUAAUUCAUUUUUAACGUUAGAUAAAUCAUUUAAAUCAUUAUGUUGAUUUUACAGUAAAUGUUUGACCUUUAAUGUCAUUUCGGUAUAAUAAAAUAUAUAUUGCAUUCCUAAGAGGGUGAUAUGAAAAAUGUUCACCCUCGAAAUAUGAAUAUAGACCUUGGCUGUCGCCUCGGUCGAUAUUCGUAUAUCUCGUAUAGCCUGUAAUAAGAUGUCAUAAUCAAUCUUAACCUCGGAGGGGUCAGAUUGUCUAUCUAUAAUGAGUGUAAUUGAUUGACACUAAAUAUCUUUAUACGACAAAAGAGGUCACAAAUGCAAUCACAAGGACAGAACAUUAAUUCAAAAGGUUUAUUCAGUUGUACAUCAUUAAAUUUCAAAUAACU